GGGUUGUGAGGUUAAGCGACUAAGCGUACACGGUGGAUGCCCUGGCAGUCAGAGGCGAUGAAGGACGUGCUAAUCUGCGAUAAGCGUCGGUGAGGUGAUAUGAACCGUUAUAACCGGCGAUUUCCGAAUGGGGAAACCCAGUGUGUUUCGACACACUAUCAUUAACUGAAUCCAUAGGUUAAUGAGGCGAACCGGGGGAACUGAAACAUCUAAGUACCCCGAGGAAAAGAAAUCAACCGAGAUUCUCCCAGUAGCGGCGAGCGAACGGGGAGGAGCCCAGAGCCUGAAUCAGUGUGUGUGUUAGUGGAAGCGUCUGGAAAGGCGUGCGAUACAGGGUGACAGCCCCGUACACAAAAAUGCACAUAUUGUGAGCUCGAUGAGUAGGGCGGGACACGUGGUAUCCUGUCUGAAUAUGGGGGGACCAUCCUCCAAGGCUAAAUACUCCUGACUGACCGAUAGUGAACCAGUACCGUGAGGGAAAGGCGAAAAGAACCCCGGCGAGGGGAGUGAAAAAGAACCUGAAACCGUGUACGUACAAGCAGUGGGAGCCUCUUAAUGGGGUGACUGCGUACCUUUUGUAUAAUGGGUCAGCGACUUAUAUUCUGUAGCAAGGUUAACCGAAUAGGGGAGCCGAAGGGAAACCGAGUCUUAACUGGGCGUUAAGUUGCAGGGUAUAGACCCGAAACCCGGUGAUCUAGCCAUGGGCAGGUUGAAGGUUGGGUAACACUAACUGGAGGACCGAACCGACUAAUGUUGAAAAAUUAGCGGAUGACUUGUGGCUGGGGGUGAAAGGCCAAUCAAACCGGGAGAUAGCUGGUUCUCCCCGAAAGCUAUUUAGGUAGCGCCUCGUGAAUUCAUCUCCGGGGGUAGAGCACUGUUUCGGCAAGGGGGUCAUCCCGACUUACCAACCCGAUGCAAACUGCGAAUACCGGAGAAUGUUAUCACGGGAGACACACGGCGGGUGCUAACGUCCGUCGUGA
rnacentral:rRNA from 1 species